CUAACUGGCAUGAGAUGGUAUCUCAAUGUAGUUUUGAUUUGCAUUUCUCUAAUGACCAGUGAUCAUGAGCAUUUUUUCCUAUGUUUUUUGGCCUCAUAUAUGUCUUCUUUUUAAAAGUGUCUUUAUAUCCUGUGCCCACUUUUGAAUUUAUGGUUGUAUUCCUAG